AUUGAACGCUAGCGGCAUGCCUUACACAUGCAAGUCGAACGAGUGGCGGACGGGUGAGUAAUGUAUGGGAAACUGCCCGGUAGAGGGGGAUAACUACUGGAAACGGUAGCUAAUACCGCAUACCAUCAGAUGGGCCCAGAUGGGAUUAGCUAGUUGGUGGGGUAACGGCUCACCAAGGCGACGAUCCCUAGCUGGUCUGAGAGGAUGACCAGCCACACUGGAACUGAGACACGGUCCAGACUCCUACGGGAGGCAGCAGUGGGGAAUAUUGCACAAUGGGCGAAAGCCUGAUGCAGCCAUGCCGCGUGUAUGAAGAAGGCCUUCGGGUUGUAAAGUACUUUCAGCGGGGAGGCGUUACCCGCAGAAGAAGCACCGGCUAACUCCGUGCCAGCAGCCGCGGUAAUUC
rnacentral:rRNA from 1 species